AGUGAACGCUGGCGGUAUGCCUAACACAUGCAAGUCUAACGGCAGCACAGUAAGGGCUGGCUCUGACGGAGUGCGAGGUGCGGACGUUUGAGGAAUACAACGGAAUCUACUUGGUCGUGGAUGAUAACGUAGGGAAACUUACGCUAAUACCGCAUACGACCUACGAAUGAAAUCAGCGCAUCGUCGGACCUUUCGCUAUUAUAUGAGCCUAGGUCGGUUUAGCUAGUUGGCGGGGUACAGUCCCACCAAGGCGAGGAAACGUCGCUGGUCUGAGAGGAUGAGCAGCCACACUGGAACUGUGAAACGGCACAGACUCAUACGGGAGGGAGCAGUGGGGCAUAUUGGACAAUGGGUGCAAGAUUGAUCAAGACAUACCGAGUGGGUGAAGCAGGACUUCGGGUUGUAAAGCCAUUUUGUUGGGAAAGAAAAGCAGCAGGUUAAUACACCGCUGUUAUGACGGUACCCAAAGAAUAAGCAACGGCUAAAUUCGUG
rnacentral:rRNA from 1 species